CUCAGGUUAAAGACUUUUUGAAGUAAAGAGGAGCAUCUCAUCUGAACCUGAUGUCUAUCAUGGAUAUUUAACUGCAGUUCUGUGAGUAUCCCAACUUAACCAUGAAGAUGAAGAUGAACUGCAAACUGUAAGUCAUUAAUUUCUCAUUACUCUUGGGCACAUUGAUGUAUUUUGGCUUCCUGGUGAGUUAACCUGUUACCUGAUUGUUGUUCUGAGUAGUAAGGAUGUUUUAUUGGUUCAUGGGUUACUUAGGUGUUUGGUUGAUGUUGGUUUUAAUGAUUUGUUAAAAUGGUUACAGGCUAAAGUUAUUGUAAGCUGGAAUAAUGGGUUGGGUUCUGAUUUCGUCAGUCUUCUUUCAUUCUACUCUCCUGAGCUCUGCAUCUUCAUCACAUGAGUGUUGCUUUACUGAUGAGGGUGUGGUCUGAGUGAGCAGAGGUGCAUACUGGGAAACGGAGCUUUCUGAAGUCUACAGGUCUGUAGACACGCCUCCUCAGGGGAAACCAAGUGUUUGAGAAACUGUCGUGACGUCAGUUACAUGGACUGGAAUGUUCUUAAAGAUGGACACAGGGAUUCAGAAGGAGAAACACCAGGGGGAGAUGAGGGGGCUCCUCAUCUCAACGACUAAAACACAACUUCAGUCUGACACAGAGAACCAUGGAACACAUUCAACAGUCCCCUCCAGGCAUCGUGACUCCUCAGGAACAGUUUCAUUUCCAUGAUGGUCUUAUUUGGGGCCAUCCCCAGAUGGAUCCUGCCCCUCAAGAGCCACCCCACUCCACUGGGUGGUCUUCUGAACAGAUGACCUCCUUCCUGUCCUCAGGCGGACAAAAGCUGCACCGUUUCCAUCUCUGAAGGCCCCUCAUUCAGAAAACCACUGGACUACAAAGACAUGAAUUUAGAGACGUUGAAUCAACCUGGGACACAUUUGGAGACGCCAAGCAUAAUCCAUCACCAAUGUGGGACGCCACUGAAGAAUGUUGUAAAUAAUUUACGUCUCUGGAGACAUUGGUUGUUCUGUUCUGGGUGCCCUGGCAGGAGAGCUGGGGGUGGAUGAUGGAAUUUUAUUUGGCAUGAGGUUUUUACCCUGCAUGAUUGUUUGGCCUUUUAUGGCUCAGUGGUGUGUGUGUGUGUGUUUGGGUUUGAAAUUAAAUGGAUGCGUCCGUCCGUCCGUGCGUCCGUCCGUGCGUCCGUCCGUCCGUCCGUGCGUCCGUCCGUCCGUGUCCCACUCACACCUGGCAUGGGGUUCUACGUGCGUGUCCUGGGUUCUAUGUGUGCGUGUCCGGCUUGCUUUGGCAGUGAUAAUGUUCAUACGGGGGUCUGUGUGAUUGGCUUGGGAUAUUGGAAUGGUCAAAUAAAUCAUACCUCAUGGAUGGCCACAUGUUUACUGAAGGGCCUCCAGUAGACAUGAAGAGCCUGAGCGACGCUCCGGAGCGAUAUCCAACACACUGGGCAGGAAGGAGAGUAUCCAAAUCAAGUGUAAAAGGAUGAAAGCGGCGUGUUCAGAUCAGUGACUUCAAACUAGGACUACACCAAUCAGGAUCAAUGGAGGAUGGACACCUAAAGGCAUUCCACAAGGAGAGUCUGAAGUUGGAAAGGGUCCUCAAUGGAUAUUCAAGAUGACCUUAAGACCUGUAAUGAGACUGCUCUUCCUACCUGGCUGGAUUGAUGGAGAGCCCUGUGGAUCUUGUCUUGCUCUCAGUUGCACGUCUUCUCAGGCUGAACUGUAUUUGUUUCGGACAGGACUAGCUGAACGAUUGGUUCCCUUAAAUCAGAACCAAUCCGGAAACUCCAGCUAGUGCGCUCUUCGAGCUGAAGUUGUGCUCUUCAGCUGAGGAGGUAAGGAAACCUUCAAUGGGGCUUCAAGGUGUAAAGAGGAGAAUGUUUCAAAGUGUUCCAUGGUACUCUGAUGAAGCCCGUUGUUGUGUUCCACUGGCUGAGAGGAAGAACCCACACAUCUUCAUCUUGGCCUUUCUCCUCUGAGAAUCCUGGCGCCAUCUUGAAGGAUAUUCCAGCUCAUGUAACUGAUGUCACGGCAGAUUCUCAAACACUUGGUUUCUCCUGAGGGGCGUGUCUAUAGAACUGAGAACUUCAGACAGCACUGUAUCCCAGCAUGCAUCUCUGCUCACUCAGACCCCACCCCCAUGAGUAGGAUGUAACACUCUAGUGAUGGAGAUGUAGAGUUUUAUAAGUAACGAGGGAGUAGACUAAGGUGAUUAGAACACAAUGGCAUGUCAAGUCUGUAAAUCUUUAAACAAUGAAGAUGGUUGGAUAGUUCAGGAAUUGGGCUUCUUUUUAUUAUGGGCAGUCCUUUCACUCAGAUGCCCACUUCGCACUGGAGCUGUACAUGUGUUGGCUGGCUGGCAUGAUUUGCUGUUGGUGAUGAGGCGGUCAGGAUGACGUUGCAGGGCUAUGGUCAGCUCUCUGUGAGCACAACGUUUAGAUUUGCUCUGUAUGGUUUGUACCCUGAAUAAUCUAGAUAAUUGUAAAAUGUAGACACGGUUUUGUAUUGAAUGAUUCCAGGAUUUUAGGUUUAAAGUUGUUUAAACGGAUGUACAUGGUAGUUUGGUUCUUCGUACGGUUUUGAGUGAUAUAACUUGUACACACUGGGUGCAUAAUAAUGGAAAGGUACACUGAAUUGUAGUUAUGACCAACAGCAACAAACAGAUCUCCUCAAGGUAAGUCUGUUGGCUGUGUUUUAAUGAAGACCAUCGCUGGACUUCAGGAUCUUCAUCCGUUCAGCUCAAGGUGAGGUGCUGGUUCUGUUUUUUCUUUGGUUGGUUCCGGCCGGAAUGUUCCGCCGGAACAUUCCGGCCGAACAUUUGUGCUUCCCGACGUGGAAGGUUCUGAGUGCGAUCCCUUGAUUUAGUCCCAAUGGUUAGCAUAGGACGUUGUAGUCUGGUUCUGUUUUUUCUUUGGUUGGUUCCGGCCGGAAUGUUCCGCCGGAACAUUCCGGCCGAACAUUUGUGCUUCCCGCAGUGGAAGGUUCUGAGUGUGAUCACUUGAGUGAGUCCCAAUGGUUAGCAUAGAACGUUGUAGUCUUGACAACCAUAACAAACCACCUGGCAGUUAGUUGGACGGGAGUCCCCUGAGGGGAUCUGGCGGAACGUUCUGUAUUGUAUUUGCGUAACCCCGAGCCGUUGCCAACGGAAACAAUUUUCAGGCGGUUUCCAUUGGGAAUUGUUGCCCCCUAUCUUAAACAACUUAAGUUAGAUAUUAAAUACAUACUGACACGUACGUCGUACAAUAUGUUAAUUUCCGAUGGUUGCGCCGUACUUUUAACCACGAUGACGUGACGGGACUCUCACUGCGUACAAAACAGCGUUCUACUUGCGGGCCCAUUUUUUACAUCAGGGAAGGCUGAAAAUCAUUUCAAGGUGGAAGAUAAUUUGACAUUUCUUCAAUGGAACCCACUACCUGAAUAUGGCUGAGUAUAUUUGAUUUAAUAUCGAUACUGCUUAGUGUUCUUUGUUACUUCAGCUUUUGUACGUUCUAAAUAUCUGCUGUCAUUAAUUGCCACAGAAGUUAAACCCUACCCAAUGGAAUGAGGUUAAACAACGACUUUGGUACAGAGUUACCAACUGGAUAAUAUCAAAGCUAAAAUAAUGGCCAUCAUUCCCACAUGUUACAGUAGAAGAUACUCUAGAACUGUACAAGGUUAAAAAGGUAACAUGUAGUUUGUCCCAAGGUGUCUGCCUCCUCACCCAGAGCAAGACCUCCACCUCCUCCCCCAGAGCCAGACCUCCACUUCCUGUCAGAAGUCCUCCAGAACAGCUGAAAGGCGAGGCUGAGAGGCUGGGGACCGGAGGCUUGUGGUGCCAGGGUGGACCGGAGACUGAUGCUGGAGACCAGGAGCCUGCAGCACCGGACCAGAGGACCAGUAAUCCAUGGCUGAAGGAGCUGAUGGAGGUGCCGAGCUGAUGGAGGAGCCGUGCUGAAGGAGCUGAUGGAGGAGCCGUGCUGAAGGCCCUGGGCUGGUGGAGGAGCUGGUGGAGGGCCUGCCUGGUGAAUGACGUCUGUCGUGGGGUAGAUGCAAGCCUUCCGCUGUUUGUUCCAGACCAGGACUUUGUCUGAGGAGAGCUGAUGGAGGAGCUGAGACGCUGGAGGACAACUAGGAAUCGACCAACAAGGAUUCCUCAAUGUGUUUCUGGAGCGGAGGCGAGUUGGUAGGGGAGCCGUGAAUCUGGAGGAUGACCAUCCCUCUACCAACAAGGAUUACUUUAGGGCCAGACUUGCGCUGUUUGUUCCAGACCAGGACUCUGGCUGAGGAGAGCUGAUGGAGGAGCCAAGACUCUGGAGGACGACCUCACUCCACCAACCAGGAUCCUCAGACAAAUUACGUUUGUAACCAGACCAGGAAUCUGGAGGACUGAUGGAGAAGCCGUACAUCUGGAAGGCAAAUCCUGAGGACCACCAGGACUCUACCAUCAAGGAUUCCUCAUAAGUUUGCAUUAUCUGGACAUAGUGGACUAGACACACCUGAGAUGAACCUCACCUGAUCCUGUUUGGUCGGGGGUAGACACACCUGUGCUGAACCCGCCCUGAUCCAGACAUCCUGCUGGUCCCGUCUCCUCAGUUCAUCUGAGCCUCGUCCUCCAGAAGACCUGCUGAGCUCAGCAGUCUGAGGCUGAUGGAUCAAUGACCUCCAGUGGGAGUGAUCUUCUUGACCCCACAUGUAACCGUGUGCUUCCACACGCCUUUCCCUCACGUCUGUCACUAACUUCACUUCUCUCUACUGCUUCCUCUUUUCUUCCUUCUCUGUGGUUCAAACCUUUACACUGAAGGUGCGUCUUCCUGCCCUCAGAGGGUUUAGCGUUAGGGUUGAGAGUCAGGGUUUAGAGUCAGGGACAGAGCUGGUCAGGGAGGACUGCUUUUACACAAACCUCUUCACUUGCUUGGUGGUGACAUUUUGAAAAGAUUCAAUUGGGAAAAUGUUUUCCUCUGCUUUCCUUUACAAAAUUGUAUUAAACUUCUGUCAAGUGUUUUUGUUUAUAUAUUAAAAUCCCACAUUGACUUCUACAUGUUUGG